rnacentral:rRNA from 1 species
UACGGAGGGGGCUAGCGUUAUUCGGAAUUACUGGGCGUAAAGCGCGCGUAGGCGGUUUUCCAAGUUGAGGGUGAAAUCCCGGAGCUUAACUCCGGAACUGCCUCCAAAACUGGAUGACUAGAGGUCGAGAGAGGUAAGGGGAAUUCCUAGUGUAGAGGUGAAAUUCGUAGAUAUUAGGAAGAACACCAGUGGCGAAGGCGCCUUACUGGCUCGAUCCUGACGCUGAGGUGCGAAAGUGUGGGGAGCAAACAGG